AAUCAACGCUGGCGGCGCGCUUAACACAUGCAAGUCGAACGAGAAAGGGAGCAAUCCUGAGUAAAGUGGCGUACUGGUGAGUAACACGUGGAUAUCUACCUCUUGGUGGGGAAUAACCUGGGGAAACCUGGGCUAAUACCGCAUAAGUUCGUGAGAAGAAAGGCGCAAGUCGCCGAGAGAGGAGUCCGCGGUCGAUUAGGUAGUUGGCAGGGUAAAGCCUACCAAGCCGAAGAUCGAUAGCCGGCCUGAGAGGGCACACGGCCACACUGGCACUGAAACACGGGCCAGACUCCUACGGGAGGCAGCAGUGGGGAAUCUUGCACAAUGGGGGAAACCCUGAUGCAGCGACGCCGCGUGAGCGAUGAAGCCCUUCGGGGUGUAAAGCUCUUUCGGCAGGAACGAUAAUGACGGUACCUGCAGAAGAAGCUGCGGCUAACUACGUGCCAGCAGCCGCGGUAAU
rnacentral:rRNA from 1 species